AGUGAACGCUGGCGGUAGGCCUAACACAUGCAAGUCGAACGGCAGCACAGUAAGAGCUUGCUCUUACGGGUGGCGAGUGGCGGACGGGUGAGGAAUACAUCGGAAUCUACUUUUUCGUGGGGGAUAACGUAGGGAAACUUACGCUAAUACCGCAUACGACCUACGGGUGAAAGCAGGGGAUCUUCGGACCUUUCGCGAUUGAAUGAGCCGAUGUCGGAUUAGCUAGUUGGCGGGGUAAAGGCCCACCAAGGCGACGAUCCGUAGCUGGUCUGAGAGGAUGAUCAGCCACACUGGAACUGAGACACGGUCCAGACUCCUACGGGAGGCAGCAGUGGGGAAUCUUGGACAAUGGGCGCAAGCCUGAUCCAGCCAUACCGCGUGGGUGAAGAAGGCCUUCGGGUUGUAAAGCCCUUUUGUUGGGAAAGAAAAGCAGCAGGUUAAUACCCCGCUGUUCUGACGGUACCCAAAGAAUAAGCACCGGCUAACUUCGUG
rnacentral:rRNA from 1 species